UUAAAUGUAUACCAUAUGGCCAAAUAAA
rnacentral:piRNA from 1 species